rnacentral:rRNA from 1 species
UACGUAGGGAGCAAGCGUUUGUUCGGAAUUACUGGGCGUAAAGCGCGUGUAGGCUGCUCCGAAAGUCAGGUGUGAAAGCCCCGGGCUCAACCUGGGAAGUGCACUUGAAACCUCGGAGCCCGAAUGUCGGAGAGGGCAGCGGAAUUCUCGGUGUAGAGGUGAAAUUCGUAGAUAUCGAGAGGAACACCUGUGGCGAAGGCGGCUGCCUGGACGACGAG